AGCAUCAGGGCCAGUGAGAAAUCCCAAAUGCUCAAAAUGCUGGGGUUGGGUGUUGUUCCCUGUGGAUCCCUGGGAGGCACAGGCAGGGAAAUGCUGAGGAUUCGUGUCCUGUGCCUUGCACUGCCAGGUGAAUUUUGCUUUUGGAUUUCCAGAAGCGAGUGUGCCAGCUGCUGGACACCUUUCCAGGGGAGCCUGGUGCCCAGCUCGUGGAUUGUGCCAUGGAUCUGGAUUCCAGACACAAAUUCCUGCCUGACUCUGCUGCAAAGACAAAGCACAAUUCCAUGAUUUUGGAAAAUCAUGGGAGCAAAGGCACUUCCCAGCCCUGCCCAAGAUGUGUUGCUGGAGAAUCUGGUCACUUCAGUCACAUCCUGAGCUUCUAGAAAUGGAGAAGGAGCAGAGGAGCAGCUCUGAUUUCCUGCUGGGAUCCUCAGGAUGCAUCUGGACCCUGGAUCCUGGAUCCUGGAUCCUGCCUCAGCAUCCCUCCCUGCCCUGCUGCCACUCAGGACACCCAGAUCUGCAAUUCUGCACCUGCUCAGAAUGCUCUGCUCCUCAGGAAGCUCAGGAAUUGUGUAAAAAGGACAAAAAAAGGCUGAUUUCACGGUUAGGUAGCUCAGAAUUUAUCUAAAAAGGACAAAGUAAAGCAUAUUUCAUGUACAGGUAGCUCAGAAUUUAUCUAAAAAUGACAAGAAAAGGCUGAUCUCAUGUUUAGGAAAUUCAGAAUUUGUCUGAAAAGGACAAAGUAAGGCUGAUUUCAUGUAUAGGUUGUUCAGAAUGUGUUUAAAAAGAACAAGAAAGGCUGAUUUCAUGGUUAGGUAACUCAGGAUUUGUUUAAAAAGAACAAAGUAAGGCAUAUUUCAUGUAUAGAUUAUUCAGAAUUUAUCUAAAAAGGAUUAAAAAAAUCUGAUUUCAUCUUUAGGUAGCUCAGAAUUUAUCUAAAAAGGAUAAGAAAAAGCUGAUUUAAUGGUUAGGUAGCUCAGGAUUUGUGUAAAAAGGACAAGAAAAGGCUGAUUUCAUGUGCAAGUAACUCAGAAUUUGUUUAAAAAGGCUGAUUUCAUGUUUAGGUAACUCAGAAUUUGUUUUAAAAGG